GGAGGGGAGAAGCGCCGCGAGGCGGGGCCGGGGAGGCGCGCGCCCGGCUUGCGGGACUGCGGGGCGCGAGAGCGCGGCCGGGUAGCGUCGCGCGCGUGGAAUUGCCGCCGGGUUGCUGUGCGACUGUUCUCCUGGAGCCGUCCGUGUCACCGCCGGAGCCUGGCGCAGGUUAAUUAUAGAAAAUGCCAAGUAGGAAAUUUGCCGAUGGUGAAGUGGUAAGAGGUCGAUGGCCUGGGAGUUCACUUUAUUAUGAAGUAGAAAUUCUGAGCCACGACAGCACCUCCCAGCUUUACACUGUAAAGUAUAAAGAUGGAACAGAGCUUGAAUUGAAAGAGAAUGAUAUUAAGCCUUUAACUUCCUUUAGGCAAAGGAAAGGUGGCUCAACUUCCAGUUCCCCUUCCAGACGCCGAGGGAGUCGAUCAAGGUCACGCUCCCGAUCCCCUGGUCGACCACCUAAAAGUGCCCGCCGAUCUGCUUCUGCUUCCCACCAGGCCGACAUUAAGGAAGCAAGGAGGGAAGUGGAAGUUAAAUUGACUCCGCUGAUUCUGAAGCCAUUUGGAAAUAGCAUCAGCAGAUAUAAUGGGGAGCCUGAGCAUAUUGAGAGAAAUGACGCACCUCAUAAAAAUACACAGGAAAAAUUCAAUUUGUCACAAGAAAGCAGUUACAUAGCAACACAGUAUAGCCUUCGUCCAAGAAAAGAAGAAGUCAAAUUAAAAGAAAUAGAUUCUAAGGAAGAAAAAUACAUUGCAAAAGAACUGGCAGUGAGAACCUUUGAAGUGACCCCCAUCCGGGCAAAGGACUUGGAGUUUGGAGGAGUACCUGGUGUGUUUCUCAUCAUGUUUGGCCUGCCUGUGUUCCUCUUCCUGUUGCUGUUGAUGUGUAAACAGAAAGAUCCCAGUCUUCUGAAUUUCCCUCCUCCUUUGCCAGCUUUGUAUGAGUUAUGGGAAACCAGAGUAUUUGGGGUCUACCUCCUGUGGUUUUUGAUUCAAGUCCUGUUCUACCUACUGCCAAUUGGAAAGGUUGUAGAAGGAACGCCUCUUAUUGAUGGAAGAAGACUCAAGUAUAGAUUAAAUGGAUUCUAUGCUUUUAUCCUGACAUCUGCAGUCAUCGGAACAUCUCUCUUCCAGGGUGUAGAGUUUCAUUACGUGUACAGUCAUUUUCUUCAGUUUGCACUUGCGGCCACUGUUUUUUGUGUGGUCUUGAGUGUGUAUCUCUACGUGCGCUCUUUGAAAGCGCCCCGGAAUGACCUGUCGCCUGCCAGCUCUGGAAAUGCUGUCUAUGAUUUCUUCAUUGGCCGUGAAUUAAACCCUCGAAUUGGUACUUUUGAUCUCAAAUACUUUUGUGAAUUGCGCCCCGGAUUGAUUGGAUGGGUGGUUGUUAACUUGGUGAUGCUUUUGGCUGAAAUGAAAAUACAGGACCGCGCUGUUCCAUCCUUGGCCAUGAUUUUAGUUAAUAGUUUCCAGCUUCUCUAUGUGGUGGAUGCUCUCUGGAAUGAGGAAGCGUUGUUGACGACCAUGGACAUCAUCCACGAUGGAUUUGGAUUCAUGCUGGCUUUUGGAGACUUGGUGUGGGUUCCCUUUAUUUACAGCUUCCAAGCCUUUUAUUUAGUCAGUCAUCCAAAUGAAGUGUCUUGGCCAAUGGCUUCUCUAAUUAUUGUUCUGAAACGUGAGUAUUAAUUUUAGUCUCAGUUUAAUUUAUUAAAUAUUAUGUACUGAGGCUUUUAUGCCCUGCUGUCUACAUACUUGAAACAUGCCAUUUUGAAUGGCCAGCAUUAGCUCAAUUUGAAGCCAUUUAUGAUGAGUAAUAAAAAAUCUGCAUUUUGCAAAGAGAAUGGAUGGUUCAUACUUGGGUUCUCAGUAGUACUUGAAACAGAUUAUUUUAAACCAUCUUGCUUUUAAAUUUAAUAAAUUUAAGUUGUUUUAAUUUGUUUUGGUAACCAUAUGUCUUUUCUCUUGAGUGCCUGCUUUUUCUGGUAGGCAUCUUAUAAAGUAAGAAGAUUUGUCUUGCCUUCAUAGAGCUCACAUUCUAACAGGAGAAAUAAGACAUUCCUGCCUUGCUGUGAGUUUGUGGUUAUGUAAUCUUCCGAGGUGCAAAUUCUCAGAAAAAUGCAUUCCGGAAAAAUCCCAGUGAUCCAAAGCUUGCACAUUUAAAAACCAUUCAUACUUCAACGGGAAAAAAUCUUCUAGUCUCUGGAUGGUGGGGCUUUGUUCGCCACCCCAAUUACUUGGGUGAUCUCAUCAUGGCCUUGGCGUGGUCCCUCCCAUGUGGUUUUAACCACAUUCUGCCUUAUUUCUACAUAAUUUAUUUCACCAUGUUGCUUGUCCACCGAGAAGCUCGUGACGAGUACCACUGUAAGAAGAAAUACGGCGUGGCUUGGGAAAAGUACCGUCAGCGUGUGCCCUACCGUAUAUUUCCAUACAUCUACUAAUGCUCUUCUGGCUUUUCUACAAAAUACUCCUGCAAUUCCAGCUGCCAUUUGCAAAAACAAGGAAAAAAAUCCGAAACUUUCUUUUGUUGCACUGACAGGGUCUGUAAUUUUUUUUUUCUUUUUGAGUCAGGACUAUAGAGCCGAGUAGUUGAUCUUUUAAUAUAGCCGUGUUUACUUGUAUUAAAUUACAGUUAACAUAGGAAAAAUACAAGUAAGGAUGUGAGAAUUUGCAUUUUAAUGGGAAAUUUUCAACCCUUAAUCUGAAAACAGAAGACAGUCUUAAUAUAAAUGUACUGUGAAGAAUGCUAUUGAUGUUUAUGGUUUCUGAUUACUUUUCAAAUUUUGAUGUUUUUUUGCCAGUUGGCUUUUCUUAAAUGAAAACACUGUUCCAUUUAAAGUACAUUUAUGUUUUAUUCAGUAAGAGAAUAGAAUUUUCAUUUGUUUUUCUUUAAAUCCUUUACUAAUUAUAUAAUUUGAAAGCAAAAAGAAGGGCCUAUAUUAAAUGCUGAAAGUGAAAAGCGAUGAGAUUAUUAGCAGACACUGCUUAAAGGAGACCAUUUGUAGCAGUUGGCUUAACCUCAACUUCUAAAACUACAUUGAAAAUGUAAAUACAUAGCUUAGUUUUUUGUAAUAUAUGGUGACUUCAGAUUUUUUUGUACAGUAUUUUGAAUGUGAGAUGAUUGUCAGGACUAACUGUCUUUUUAACAAAACAUUUUCAGUAUUUUAAAUAAAAUUUUGUAAAGUAAUGUGAAUUAAAAAUUUUGGAACAAUUAGAAUUCAUUCACUAUUGUAUAGAAGAUGCUGUUAAAACAUAGGAAGGGUAUUUUUCUUGAUCCAAAGUUUGUGAAUUUGGCUUUGCUACCUCAAUUGCAGGUGUUUGUUUGCCUUUAUAAACUGUUGCAAAUAGAAAAAAAAUAGAAUAAGUAUAUAUUUUUGGAGUAACAUCAAUAUUUAAACAUUUUUACACAGAUCGGUGUUUGAAAAUUUGCCAUUUCAGGCUAAUAUUUUUAUAUAUUUUUGACUUUUUAAAAGUUCAUCAGUGUUUUUGCUACUGUUAAGCUUAUGCAGUUUAUACUGUAUUUUUUAUGUAUCCUUUAUAUUUACCAAACAUGACUCCCUGUAAAGGAGUGCUGUCUUAAAAACAACUGAAGGGGUUAAAGUCGUUUCUUUUAGUUUAAUAGAUGUGCAUAAGGUAGCUUUAGCAAUUAAAUUCUAGUGAAGUUGAUAUAGUCUCAUUUUUAAUUGUCCUGUAAUGGAACAGUAGCAAAUUCACUAAACUUUUGUGUUCAGAGUUAAAUUGUUCUCAGUACUUUCAAUGUAGGGGAAUGUAAUAAACAUAGUGUGUAUGUUUGGGUUUUAAUUACACAUUUUAUAUAUGAGCCAUUCAGAUAUGCAGUGUUAAUUCUAUACUGCAUUUGAAGUGUAUGUAACUUAGCUUAUGUUAAUGCAGUCAUGAAGUUGGUUUGCUCCAGCAUCCGGUAGUCUUUAAACAUUCUUUUAGUGAAAUUGUCAUUGUUUUAUCAGUGCUAAUGUGUGCAAGCAGUUUUUUUAUUUUGCUUUUCACCUGGCAUCAGAAAGUGGUGGCGUUUUCUGUACUGGAUUACACCAAGGAAGCUUUUGGGAAGGAAGGAAGGACAUUAAAUUCUUUCCCUGGUAAUGAAAAGAGCCCUUUAUCAAUACAGUGCUGCAAUUUCUGGAUAUCAGCUACACUUUAUUUUUAAUUUUGUUUUUGACAUGUUUAUUUGGCAAAUUUUAUAAUGAAGUUUUAAGUUGAAAAUAAAAUGUAGCAACAUUUUGAUCA